UUAUUGGACUUUCCUACUCAUUUCAACGGAGGCCCAAUUGUCAUUAUCGAAGACAAAGUAGCUUCUGAAUUAAAUAGGAGUGUCUCUUCGGAUCACAGUUCCUCCGAUCAACGCAUGUAUAACAGCUUCAGAUUUCGUCGAUCUUCUACAUUAAUCCAAGCAUUUAUGUUGUUUCCACCGCUUCUCCUACUCUCUCCAAAGUCGUAGUAUUUGGCCUGGCUACGCUCGACUGUCCUUGAGAACUUGAGUCUCACUGUCAUGAAGCGAGGUUUUCAGAGAGACUCAGGCGAGUCAAUCGUCCACGUAGAUGAAAUGUAACUUCUCUUUUCAUUUGUGAUAUUUGAUUUUGACUCCUCAAUUAACAGUAAGACUUCACUCGGUCGUACGAGUAUAAUUGAUAUUGAUGGUUUUCUGUUUUUCUACAUGUUGAAUCACAUACAUCCAUAUGAGAUUGUGAAUGGUGUAGUUGAAUUUCAAGGUGUACCUGAAGAAGUAAAAACAGAACAAAAGGAUAAAGAUGUCGAAGAGAAAGGAGUACUGGCCUGGCUAAUUCCAUUGAAUAACAAGGAAAUUUCAGAUAAGGAUCUUCGUUUUCAGGAUACUCUUCUUUUGUUUAUAUGAAAAGUGGAUUCUCUUAAUCUUGAUGUUUUUUGUUCUCAUUAUUAUAUAACUGAGCGAGGUGAAGGUGCUCUUAAGUGAUUCUUAAGGAUAUCAACAGGAUUGAAGAACCAAAAGGGUUCAAGAUUGACUUUAUCUUUGAACAGAGCCCUUACUUCAAGAAUACAAUCUUGACCAAGACAUAUCACAUGAUUGAUGAAGAUGAGCAUAUCCUUGAAAAGGCCAUUCAGACGGAGAUUAAGUGGUAUCCUGGAAAAUAUUUGACUCAUCAGAUCCUUAGAAAAAGCCAAUGAAAGGGAUCCAAAACAAAAAGCCGAUCACUUAGACUGAAGACUUUGAGAGUUUCUGCAAAUUCUUCAUUCCACCUAAAGUUCCUGAGGAAGACAAUGAUCCUGAUGAUGAAUAGGCUGGGGAACUCCAUGGAGCACAACUCUGACACAUGUUGUUGACGCAGAUGACCUUGAGAUGGACGAAGAUGAUGAUGAGAUUGAUGUUGAUGAUGAUGACACGGGGAGGGGAGGAAGAUGAGGUGGAUGACAAGGACGAUGAUGAAGAGGCUGGGCAAGGAAAGAAUAGUAGAAAAAGGUACUGUGUGGUUAAAAUGGCAGUUUUUCAUCAGCUGGGCAGAAGGAAUUAACAAGCACUCAGUCUAGAACUUAUGUUCUAUUUCUUCUUGGUUAUUUAAAGCUGUGUAUAACAAAGUGAGAGGCCACUGAAGUGUAAGCGUGAAGAAGAGUCAGGUCAUUUUGUUUUUAAGUUGCCGAGUCAUGGUCUGGUUUAAUAUGAUAUAUAACAAGUUUUGAAGGGUGUUUUGCAAAUAAUUGGUUAUCUGGUUGGUUUGUGUCUUAUUUUUAAUUUGUAAUGUGUUUCUGAUCAAAAAACUGCUUUGAGCAAAUAGUAUUUGUCGUUUUGUUCACAGUUUAUAUUUGCGAGUUUCUACCA